GUCAGGACCCCCGGGCCAGGCGUGGGUAUAAAUGGCCGAGGCGGGCGGCACACGGGUCUCUUUGUGCACCCGCCCACACGGUUUGCCGUGUUUUCACCCUUCUUUGUUCUCCACCGGUCUGGGCAGGGUCUGAGGACUCCGGAGAGCAAGGCAUGGGUCCGCCUCGUGCCGCAGGUUCCUGGCCCACGCCAGCCGUACCCAGUAGCACAAUGGGAUUUGAGGACACACGCCAGCUGCCUACACCUGAAGAAAGGUUAGGUGAGCUCUGAGGACUUCACAGGGGCCCCAUCCCCUCACCUAGAUGAGGGCUAACCUUGGAAUCCAGACAAAGGUGGAAGUGACCUAGAUGUGACCUGAAUGAGCUAAUCAUCUAAUGAGAGCCAGCCCUUUGUCCUGCCCACAUGAAGGUGGGUGGUUAGCUCACUUUUCAGGGUAAUAAAGCAGUAAAGGCGGGGUGGAGGGGUUGUUGAAGGCUUUGUAUGAUGUCACUAGGGCCUGUAAAGUUAGCACAAUGAACCCGCUGUGCAGAUUGUAAAGCUGACCUUGUUGGAAUAUCCUGGUUUUAGAAACACAUAAAUCAGCUUUGUGUUUGCUGUUCCCCUGCUGAAAAUGUUCUUCUGAAUUUUCAGGGCUUUGCUGCUACGCACUGACAAGUUGGACGGCUUUUUAUUGCUUUGUUGCCAGUUAUCUGAACAUGAGAGGCUGUAAGGUGUAAUCUGCGAGCCCUGCGCCCAGACUGAACCAGGGCCUCCCUUGAACAUGAGUAUUAGACAAAUGAAAUAAGAACUUAUCUUGCCCAGACUAUAUAAUGGCUUGGAAAUGCAUAGUUUCCUGAACGAUCU
rnacentral:lncRNA from 1 species